rnacentral:rRNA from 1 species
UGCCUACGGGGGGCAGCAGUGAGGAAUAUUGGUCAAUGGGCGCGAGCCUGAACCAGCCAAGUCGCGUGAGGGAUGACGGUCCUACGGAUUGUAAACCUCUUUUGCCGGGGAGCAAGCGUGCGUUCGUGAACGCACGUCGAGAGUACCCGGAGAAAAAGCAUCGGCUAACUCCGUGCCAGCAGCCGCGGUAAUACGGAGGGGGCGAGCGUUAAUCGGAAUUACUGGGCGUAAAGCGCACGUAGGCUGUUUUUUAAGUC